rnacentral:rRNA from 1 species
CGAAUGCUGACAUAAGUAACGAUAAAGCGGGUGAAAAGCCCGCUCGCCGGAAGACCAAGGGUUCCUGUCCAACGUUAAUCGGGGCAGGGUGAGUCGACCCCUAAGGCGAGGCCGAAAGGCGUAGUCGAUGGGAAACAGGUUAAUAUUCCUGUACUUGGUGUUACUGCGAAGGGGGGACGGAGAAGGCUAUGUUGGCCGGGCGACGGUUGUCCCGGUUUAAGCGUGUAGGCUGGUUUUCCAGGCAAAUCCGGAAAAUCAAGGCUGAGGCGUGAUGACGAGGCACUACGGUGCUGAAGCAACAAAUGCCCUGCUUCCAGGAAAAGCCUCUAAGCAUCAGGUAACAUCAAAUCGUACCCCAAACCGACACAGGUGGUCAGGUAGAGAAUACCAAGGCGCUUGAGAGAACUCGGGUGAAGGAACUAGGCAAAAUGGUGCCGUAACUUCGGGAGAAGGCACGCUGAUAUGUAGGUGAAGUCCCUCGCGGAUGGAGCUGAAAUCAGUCGAAGAUACCAGCUGGCUGCAACUGUUUAUUAAAAACACAGCACUGUGCAAACACGAAAGUGGACGUAUACGGUGUGACGCCUGCCCGGUGCCGGAAGGUUAAUUGAUGGGGUCAGCGCAAGCGAAGCUCUUGAUCGAAGCCCCGGUAAACGGCGGCCGUAACUAUAACGGUCCUAAGGUAGCGAAAUUCCUUGUCGGGUAAGUUCCGACCUGCACGAAUGGCGUAAUGAUGGCCAGGCUGUCUCCACCCGAGACUCAGUGAAAUUGAACUCGCUGUGAAGAUGCAGUGUACCCGCGGCAAGACGGAAAGACCCCGUGAACCUUUACUAUAGCUUGACACUGAACAUUGAGCCUUGAUGUGUAGGAUAGGUGGGAGGCUUUGAAGUGUGGACGCCAGUCUGCAUGGAGCCGACCUUGAAAUACCACCCUUUAAUGUUUGAUGUUCUAACGUGGACCCGUGAUCCGGGUUGCGGACAGUGUCUGGUGGGUAGUUUGACUGGGGCGGUCUCCUCCUAAAGAGUAACGGAGGAGCACGAAGGUUGGCUAAUCCUGGUCGGACAUCAGGAGGUUAGUGCAAUGGCAUAAGCCAGCUUGACUGCGAGCGUGACGGCGCGAGCAGGUGCGAAAGCAGGUCAUAGUGAUCCGGUGGUUCUGAAUGGAAGGGCCAUCGCUCAACGGAUAAAAGGUACUCCGGGGAUAACAGGCUGAUACCGCCCAAGAGUUCAUAUCGACGGCGGUGUUUGGCACCUCGAUGUCGGCUCAUCACAUCCUGGGGCUGAAGUAGGUCCCAAGGGUAUGGCUGUUCGCCAUUUAAAGUGGUACGCGAGCUGGGUUUAGAACGUCGUGAGACAGUUCGGUCCCUAUCUGCCGUGGGCGCUGGAGAACUGAGGGGGGCUGCUCCUAGUACGAGAGGACCGGAGUGGACGCAUCACUGGUGUUCGGGUUGUCAUGCCAAUGGCACUGCCCGGUAGCUAAAUGCGGAAGAGAUAAGUGCUGAAA